AGGGCGCACGGUGGAUGCCUUGGCACUAGAAGCCGAUGAAGGACGUUACUAACGACGAUAUGCUUUGGGGAGCUGUAAGUAAGCUUUGAUCCAGAGAUUUCCGAAUGGGGAAACCCAGCAUGAGUUAUGUCAUGUUAUCGAUAUGUGAAUACAUAGCAUAUCAGAAGGCACACCCGGAGAACUGAAACAUCUUAGUACCCGGAGGAAGAGAAAGAAAAUUCGAUUCCCUUAGUAGCGGCGAGCGAAACGGGAAGAGCCCAAACCAACAAGCUUGCUUGUUGGGGUUGUAGGACACUCUAUACGGAGUUACAAAGGACGACAUUAGACGAAUCAUCUGGAAAGAUGAAUCAAAGAAGGUAAUAAUCCUGUAGUCGAAAAUGUUGUCUCUCUUGAGUGGAUCCUGAGUACGACGGAGCACGUGAAAUUCCGUCGGAAUCUGGGAGGACCAUCUCCUAAGGCUAAAUACUCUCUAGUGACCGAUAGUGAACCAGUACCGUGAGGGAAAGGUGAAAAGCACCCCGGAAGGGGAGUGAAAUAGAACCUGAAACCGUGUGCUUACAAGUAGUCAGAGCCCGUUAAUGGGUGAUGGCGUGCCUUUUGUAGAAUGAACCGGCGAGUUACGAUUUGAUGCAAGGUUAAGCAGUAAAUGUGGAGCCGUAGCGAAAGCGAGUCUGAAUAGGGCGUUUAGUAUUUGGUCGUAGACCCGAAACCAGGUGAUCUACCCUUGGUCAGGUUGAAGUUCAGGUAACACUGAAUGGAGGACCGAACCGACUUACGUUGAAAAGUGAGCGGAUGAACUGAGGGUAGCGGAGAAAUUCCAAUCGAACCUGGAGAUAGCUGGUUCUCUCCGAAAUAGCUUUAGGGCUAGCCUCAAGUGAUGAUUAUUGGAGGUAGAGCACUGUUUGGACGAGGGGCCCCUCUCGGGUUACCGAAUUCAGACAAACUCCGAAUGCCAAUUAAUUUAACUUGGGAGUCAGAACAUGGGUGAUAAGGUCCGUGUUCGAAAGGGAAACAGCCCAGACCACCAGCUAAGGUCCCAAAAUAUAUGUUAAGUGGAAAAGGAUGUGGCGUUGCCCAGACAACUAGGAUGUUGGCUUAGAAGCAGCCAUCAUUUAAAGAGUGCGUAAUAGCUCACUAGUCGAGUGACACUGCGCCGAAAAUGUACCGGGGCUAAACAUAUUACCGAAGCUGUGGAUUGUCCUUUGGACAAUGGUAGGAGAGCGUUCUAAGGGCGUUGAAGCAUGAUCGUAAGGACAUGUGGAGCGCUUAGAAGUGAGAAUGCCGGUGUGAGUAGCGAAAGACGGGUGAGAAUCCCGUCCACCGAUUGACUAAGGUUUCCAGAGGAAGGCUCGUCCGCUCUGGGUUAGUCGGGUCCUAAGCUGAGGCCGACAGGCGUAGGCGAUGGAUAACAGGUUGAUAUUCCUGUACCACCUAUAAUCGUUUUAAUCGAUGGGGGGACGCAGUAGGAUAGGCGAAGCGUGCGAUUGGAUUGCACGUCUAAGCAGUAAGGCUGAGUAUUAGGCAAAUCCGGUACUCGUUAAGGCUGAGCUGUGAUGGGGAGAAGACAUUGUGUCUUCGAGUCGUUGAUUUCACACUGCCGAGAAAAGCCUCUAGAUAGAAAAUAGGUGCCCGUACCGCAAACCGACACAGGUAGUCAAGAUGAGAAUUCUAAGGUGAGCGAGCGAACUCUCGUUAAGGAACUCGGCAAAAUGACCCCGUAACUUCGGGAGAAGGGGUGCUCUUUAGGGUUAACGCCCAGAAGAGCCGCAGUGAAUAGGCCCAAGCGACUGUUUAUCAAAAACACAGGUCUCUGCUAAACCGUAAGGUGAUGUAUAGGGGCUGACGCCUGCCCGGUGCUGGAAGGUUAAGAGGAGUGGUUAGCUUCUGCGAAGCUACGAAUCGAAGCCCCAGUAAACGGCGGCCGUAACUAUAACGGUCCUAAGGUAGCGAAAUUCCUUGUCGGGUAAGUUCCGACCCGCACGAAAGGCGGAACGAUUUGGGCACUGUCUCAACGAGAGACUCGGUGAAAUCAUAGUACCUGUGAAGAUGCAGGUUAACCGCGACAGGACGGAAAGACCCCGUGGAGCUUUACUGUAGCCUGAUAUUGAAAUUCGGCACAGCUUGUACAGGAUAGGUAGGAGCCUUUGAAACGUGAGCGCUAGCUUACGUGGAGGCGCUGGUGGGAUACUACCCUAGCUGUGUUGGCUUUCUAACCCGCACCACUUAUCGUGGUGGGAGACAGUGUCAGGCGGGCAGUUUGACUGGGGCGGUCGCCUCCUAAAAGGUAACGGAGGCGCUCAAAGGUUCCCUCAGAAUGGUUGGAAAUCAUUCAUAGAGUGUAAAGGCAUAAGGGAGCUUGACUGCGAGACCUACAAGUCGAGCAGGGUCGAAAGACGGACUUAGUGAUCCGGUGGUUCCGCAUGGAAGGGCCAUCGCUCAACGGAUAAAAGCUACCCCGGGGAUAACAGGCUUAUCUCCCCCAAGAGUUCACAUCGACGGGGAGGUUUGGCACCUCGAUGUCGGCUCAUCGCAUCCUGGGGCUGUAGUCGGUCCCAAGGGUUGGGCUGUUCGCCCAUUAAAGCGGUACGCGAGCUGGGUUCAGAACGUCGUGAGACAGUUCGGUCCCUAUCCGUCGUGGGCGUAGGAAAUUUGAGAGGAGCUGUCCUUAGUACGAGAGGACCGGGAUGGACAUACCUCUGGUGUACCAGUUGUCGUGCCAACGGCAUAGCUGGGUAGCUAUGUGUGGACGGGAUAAGUGCUGAAAGCAUCUAAGCAUGAAGCCCCCCUCAAGAUGAGAUUUCCCAACUUCGGUUAU
rnacentral:rRNA from 1 species